rnacentral:rRNA from 1 species
AGAGUUUGAUCCUGGCUCAGGACGAACGCUGGCGGCGUGCCUAAUACAUGCAAGUCGAACGCGUCUUGGUUAAUGAUGUUAGGUGCUUGCAUUUAACUGAUUUAACAUUGAGACGAGUGGCGAACUGGUGAGUAACACGUGGGUAACCUGCCCUGAAGUGGGGGAUAACACUUGGAAACAGGUGCUAAUACCGCAUAACAACGAAAACCACAUGGUUUUCGUUUGAAAGAUGGCUUCGGCUGUCACUUUUGGAUGGACCGCGGCGUAUUAGCUUGUUGGUGAGGUAACGGCUCACCAAGGCCAUGAUACGUAGCCGACCUGAGAGGGUAAUCGGCCACAUUGGGACUGAGACACGGCCCAAACUCCUACGGGAGGCAGCAGUAGGGAAUCUUCCACAAUGGACGAAAGUCUGAUGGAGCAACGCCGCGUGAGUGAUGAAGGGUUUCGGCUCGUAAAACUCUGUUGUUGGAGAAGAACAGGUGAUAGAGUAACUGUUAUCAUCUUGACGGUAUCCAACCAGAAAGCCACGGCUAACUACGUGCCAGCAGCCGCGGUAAUACGUAGGUGGCAAGCGUUGUCCGGAUUUAUUGGGCGUAAAGCGAGCGCAGGCGGUUUUUUAGGUCUGAUGUGAAAGCCUUCGGCUUAACCGGAGAAGGGCAUCGGAAACCGGGAGACUUGAGUGCAGAAGAGGACAGUGGAACUCCAUGUGUAGCGGUGAAAUGCGUAGAUAUAUGGAAGAACACCAGUGGCGAAGGCGGCUGUCUGGUCUGUAACUGACGCUGAGGCUCGAAAGCAUGGGUAGCGAACAGGAUUAGAUACCCUGGUAGUCCAUGCCGUAAACGAUGAGUGCUAAGUGUUGGAGGGUUUCCGCCCUUCAGUGCUGCAGCUAACGCAUUAAGCACUCCGCCUGGGGAGUACGACCGCAAGGUUGAAACUCAAAGGAAUUGACGGGGGCCCGCACAAGCGGUGGAGCAUGUGGUUUAAUUCGAUGCUACGCGAAGAACCUUACCAGGUCUUGACAUCUUCUGCUAACCUAAGAGAUUAGGCGUUCCCUUCGGGGACGGAAUGACAGGUGGUGCAUGGUUGUCGUCAGCUCGUGUCGUGAGAUGUUGGGUUAAGUCCCGCAACGAGCGCAACCCUU